CACCCCCAAAACUUAACUGCACAAUAAAAAUCAAUGGGGUGAUUCCAUAGUUUAACUGGCAAAGUACUAAUGAUGUGUACUAGGGCCAAGAAAGUACACGUUGGGAGGUAGCCUGAAGUGAGACUGGGAAUUCUAGCUAGUGAGACAAAGUCCUUGUGAUGAAUUUAGGGGGAAAAAAA
rnacentral:lncRNA from 1 species